rfam:Triticum aestivum genome assembly, contig: Triticum_aestivum_CS42_TGACv1_scaffold_433158_5DL
UUAUUACUCCCUUCGUCCGAAAAUACUUGUCAUCAAAAUGGAUAAAAAGAGGUGUAUCUAGAACUAAAAUACAUCUAGAUACAUUCCCUUUUAUUCAUUUUCAGGACAAUAUUUCCGGACGGAGGGAGUAGUUA